GAUGAACGCUGGCGGCGUGCUUAACACAUGCAAGUCGAACGAGAAAUGUAGACGGAAACCUUCGGGCGGAAGCCUUCAUUUCGAGUGGCGGACGGGUGAGUAACGCGUGGGUAACCUGCCUCAUACAGGGGGAUAACAGUUGGAAACGACUGUUAAUACCGCAUAAGACCACAGCAUCGCAUGAUGCGGGGGUAAAAACUGCGGUGGUAUGAGAUGGACCCGCGUUCGAUUAGCCAGUUGGCGGGGUAACGGCCCACCAAAGCGACGAUCGAUAGCCGAUCUGAGAGGAUGACCGGCCACAUUGGGACUGAGACACGGCCCAAACUCCUACGGGAGGCAGCAGUGGGGAAUAUUGCACAAUGGGGGAAACCCUGAUGCAGCGACGCCGCGUGAGUGAAGAAGUACUUCGGUAUGUAAAGCUCUAUCAGCAGGGAAGAAAAUGACGGUACCUGAGUAAGAAGCCCCGGCUAACUACGUG
rnacentral:rRNA from 1 species